rnacentral:misc_RNA from 1 species
UUAUUAGGUUAUAAUAAGACUACUUUUGUUACUACUGAUGUUUAUAAAAAAGGUCAGACGGGGACCUAGGUCACCACAUCUUACAGUUCACAGGUGUUAUGGAUGUGAAGGGUGCAAGGGCCUUGCCAAGGCGAAGGCCCGAGCGGUUUAUUCACUAAUGAUCCUUCCGCAGGUUCACCUACGGAAA